UGUCUGCUAUUAAGCUCCAUAUAAAUAGUAUCAUAUAGAAGGGAUUCUUAACUUGUAUGUUUUCUUUCAUAUAACAAUGUCUACAAGAUUCAUCUAAGUUAUAGUGCAUAUUUGUAGUUCAUUCUAGUCUAUUGUUGAAUAGUAAUUCAAUUGUAUGGAUAUACUACAAUUUAUCCAUUCUUCUAUUAGAUCUUUGAAUUGUUUCCAGUGUGGCUAAUACGAAUAAAGCAGCUAUGAACAUUCUUGCUUAUGUUUUUUUUUGUGUGUGCACAUGCCCACUCAUUUCUCUAAGAGUGAAAUUGCGGGGUCAUAGAGUAGGCUUAUAUUUAGCUUUAGUAGAUGUUGCCAAACAGUUUUUUAAAGUGGUUGUACCAGCUUAAAUUCCAAAAGUAGUGUACAAAAAUUCCAGUUGUAUUACAUUUUCACUAACACUUGGUUCUGUCAGUCUUUUUAAAUUUUAGCUAUUUUGGGGGCUGUAUAUUGGAUCUCCAUGUGGAUUUUUAAAUUUAAAAACUUUAAUUGUGGUAAAAUAUGCAAAAUAUAGAAUUUGUCAUCAUAACCAUUUUUUAAUUGACAGUUAGUGGUAUUAAGUACAUUCACAUUGUUUUAUAACCAUCACCACCAUCCAUCUCCAGAACUCUUUAUCUCUUGGAAAACUGAAACGGUAACCAUUAAACAACGAAUCCCCAUUCUGUCUUUUCCCAGGCCCUGAAAAUCACCAUUUUACUCUCUGUCUCUAUGAACUUGACUACUUUAAUUACCACAUACAAGUAGAACAACAGAAUAUAUAUUCUUUUCUAACCAGCUUAUUUCACUCAGCAUAAUGUCCUUAAAAUUUAUUCAUGUAGUAGCAUGUGUCAGAAUUUCUAAUACUGAAUAACAUUCCAUUGUGUGUGUGUGUGUGUGUGUGUGUGUGUGUGUUAGACACUUGGGUUGCUGUCACCUUGUUGCUGUUGUGAAAAUUGCUGCCAUGAACAUGGGUAUAUAAAUAUUUCUUCAGGACUCUGCGUCCUAUUUUUUCGGAUACAUACCCCAAAGUGGAACUGCUGGGUUAUAUGGUAAUUCUAUUGUCAAUUUUUGUAGAACCACCAUACUGUUUUCCAAAGCUACUGUACCAUUUUACAUUCUUAACAAUGUACAAGGGUUCCAGUUUCCCCACAUCCUUGCCAACACUUGUUAUUUUCUGAUGUGUUUUCUUAUAGUAACCAUUCUAAUGGGUGUGAGGUGAUCCUUAUGGUUUUAAUUUGUUUUCUGGCUGUGGAUGGAAUGUCUUGCAAAUGGAGUUGACUUCAUAUUAGAAUUACCUGCAAACUCCACAAACAAUGGAGAAACUGAGUCCUGAAAGGU